rnacentral:rRNA from 1 species
GACGAACGCUGGCGGCGUGCUUAACACAUGCAAGUCGAACGGAAAGGCCCUGCUUUUGUGGGGUGCUCGAGUGGCGAACGGGUGAGUAACACGUGAGUAACCUGCCCUUGACUUUGGGAUAACUUCAGGAAACUGGGGCUAAUACCGUAUAGGAGCUCCUGCUGCAUGGUGGGGGUUGGAAAGUUUCGGCGGUUGGGGAUGGACUCGCGGCUUAUCAGCUUGUUGGUGGGGUAGUGGCUUACCAAGGCUUUGACGGGUAGCCGGCAUGAGAGGGUGACCGGCCACAUUGGGACUGAGAUACGGCCCAGACUCCUACGGGAGGCAGCAGUGGGGAAUAUUGCACAAUGGGCGGAAGCCUGAUGCAGCGACGCCGCGUGCGGGAUGACGGCCUUCGGGUUGUAAACCGCUUUCGCCUGUGACGAAGCGUGAGUGACGGUAAUGGGUGAAGAAGCACCGGCUAACUACGUG